AUAACUGUGGCAAUUCCAGAGCUAAUACGUGCACUCAAGCCCCGACCUCCGCGAGGGGGAAGNNNGCUUUUAUUAGUUCAAAACCGGUGCGCGUCCCUUCGGCGGCGCGCCCUCCCCCUUGAUGACUCUGGAUAACUUUGAGCUGAUCGCACGGCCNNUGUGCCGGCGACGCAUCUUUCAAAUGUCUGCCCUAUCAAAUGUCGACGGUACGUGACAUGCCUACCGUGUUGGCGACGGGUAACGGGGAAUCAGGGUUCGAUUCCGGANAGGGAGCACGAGAAACGGCUACCACAUCCAAGGAAGGCAGCAGGCGCNCNACUUACCCACUCCCGGCACGGGGAGGUAGUGACGAAAAAUAACAAUACGGGACUCUUCAUCAGGCCCCGUAAUUGGAAUGAGCACAGUUCUAAACCCUU
rnacentral:rRNA from 1 species